rnacentral:rRNA from 1 species
UACGUAGGGGGCGAGCGUUGUCCGGAUUUAUUGGGCGUAAAGAGCUCGUAGGCGGCUUGGCAAGUCGGGUGUUAAACCCUCAGGCUCAACCUGGGGCCCACCCGAUACUGCUGUGACUAGAGUCCGGUAGGGGAGACUGGAAGUUCCUGGUGUAGCGGUGAAAUGCGCAGAUAAUCAGGAGGAACACCGGUGGCGAAGGCGGGUCUCUGGGCCGAUGACUGACGCUGAGGAGCGAAAGCGUGGGGAGCGAACAGG